rnacentral:rRNA from 1 species
UACGGGGGGGGCAAGCGUUGUUCGGAAUUACUGGGCGUAAAGGGCGCGUAGGCGGCCUUCUAAGUCGGACGUGAAAUCCCUCGGCUUAACCGAGGAACUGCGUCUGAUACUGGAAGGCUUGAAUCCGGGAGAGGGAUGUGGAAUUCCAGGUGUAGCGGUGAAAUGCGUAGAUAUCGGGAGGAACACCGGUGGCGAAGGCGGUUCUCUGGGCCUGACCUGACGCUGAGGAGCGAAAGCGUGGGGAGCAAACAGG